rnacentral:rRNA from 1 species
UACUAGAGUAGCACUCGCAUAUCAAUAAGCGGAGGAAAAGAAACUAACAAGGAUUCCCCUAGUAACGGCGAGUGAAGCGGGAAGAGCUCAAAUUUGAAAUCUUAAAGGGUUUCCCUUUACGAAUUGUAGUUUAAAGAAGUGUUUUCUGUUGAGGUUUUGGUAAAAGUUCUUUGGAAUAGGACAUCAUAGAGGGUGAGAAUCCCGUAUUUGACCUUUACUUUCAACUUUGUGAUACACUUUCAAAGAGUCGGAUUGUUUGGGAAUGCAGUCCAAAAUGGGUGGUAAAUUUCAUCUAAAGCUAAAUAUUGGCGAGAGACCGAUAGCGAACAAGUACCGGUGGAGGGAAAGAUGAAAAGAACUUUGAAAAGAGAGUUAAACAGUACGUGAAAUUGUCAAAAGGGAAGCGUUUGACACCAGUGUUGUUUUUCUGAAAAUCAAUUAAAGAACUGUUUAUGCUAAGUUGUUUAGACUUUAUCAGCUAACUGUUUAGUUUUGAGCUUUUCUUUAAUGCACUUUUCAGUUAACAAGUCAACAUCAAUUUCUUUUGCUGUAAAAAAGCUUGAGGAAGGCGGCUUGAGAUUCGUCUUAAGUGUUUAUAGCCUCUUGCCUAUGCAGUCGGAGAGAUUGAGGUCUGCAGCGUAGAUCCUUCGGGGCUAAAUGCAUUUGUGCUAAGUUAUAGCAUUUUAUAGACAACUUGUUGACUAUGAUUUGUCUUGUAGCUUACUCGCUUAUGUUAUUUUACCUACGCUUAGGAUGUUGAUAUCGCGCUCUCACUG